GCUAGGCAGGAGGAUGCCUGGCAGUAGGAUGCUUGAGCCCAGGAGUUCUAGUCUGUAGUGUGCUAUGCAAUCAGGUGUCUACACUAAGUUCAGUAUCAAUAUGGAGACCUCCACGUAGUGGGGUACCACCAGUUUGCCUAACAAGGGUAACUUGGCCCAGGUUGAAAACUGAGCAGGUGUGAACGCCCAUGCUGAUCAGUAGUGGAGUCCAGCCUGUGAACAGCCACUGCACUCCAGCCUGGGCAACAUAGCAAGACCCUAUCU
rnacentral:SRP_RNA from 1 species